CUGCACAUAGGUAAUCGCAUAAAACUUAUCGACAGUGGUAAACAAUCAAUCACGAAAAGUUGUUUAUACAUUGCAGAUAUAGUAAGCUCUCUCAGAAGCGCGCUCUGCCAUAACCAUGUUACAAGACAAGAUGAUAUAUCUAAACAUUCAGGUAUGGCUUCCACCAUACACUGAAAAACUCUCAGGUUGACUUCGUCAGUGUUUUUAAGAGUGGUGGAUGUUAUGAGUGUUUUUAAUAGCGUCUCACAAGAACGAAUAGCAAGACUAUACACAGAAGAUGCUUUUGCCAAUGCCGAUGUAUGAGAAUGUGAAUAAGGGUUUUGACCUUCGACCAAAUUUCAAAAGUUUUGUCACUGUCAAUGGGUCGAGAUACGAAUCUAGUGGUGCUCACAAGCAUAAAAAAGAAGCAGAGGCUCAGGCUGCCAUAGAGGAUUUGGUGGCCAAACAUUCUUACUGCGAGUGUGAGAACUACUUGUGAAGAUGGAUGAAGGUUCUCCUACAUUUUUUUUACAAAGACAGAAGUUGCUUGUUCUCCAAAACAAUGCAAAUUGGAGGGACCUCCUAUGUUGGUUGUGUUGCAAAGAGUAAGAGGGAAGCUGAAAUAAAGGCUGCCUUUGUAGCAUUUCAAGCCAUCAAAGGACAAGUAGGUGUCAUGAGUUGAAAUGGCCCACCAAAGAGUGCAAGGAUAUUAUGUCUGAAUUGAAGAGAAUAACUAACAGUUUUCCUCCUUGCAAUAACUUCUUAGUGGGAAACAACCUUGAGCAUGCUGAGAAUUACUGCAAAAUGUCAAUUUGGAUAGUGCAGGUACAGUUGAAGAGGGCCCUGGAAAUUUAAAUGCAAAUGAUGAAAAUUGAGCACCUUCGACAGAACCACAUAACUAGCUUGAGCAAGAAACUUUUCUGAUUCUGCCAGAGCAGAAAGAGAUUGAAGCACAGAAGCAAGGUGUGCAGGAGGUUAAUUUAAAAGAUUUUACAAUUAAGAGAAAUAGAAGUGACUGUGGGAAUUGUGGACAGAUAAGUGGCAAGAUGAAAAAAAAAGAAAAAAAAUGAAAAGAACCACAGGACCAUUUCAGCACACAUCAACAAACAACUGAUACUAUCUGAUGUAUGUGGAAGAUUUUCCCAUAUUUCUAGAUAUUCAAGUUUUGACUUGGGACUCUUUCUGUUCCUGUUUAUUGGUUUCCAUAAUUUUCUUAUGGUGAAACAUCACUAUUUGUAUUAAAUAAUAAUUUUUUUCUUCAAUUUUUUUCACGGUACUCUGAUUUGUAUCAAUCAGGGUCCACUGCAAAAAAUAUAUAUGAUAACAAAAAAGCUAACUGUAGUGAUAUGAUAAUGUUUAAGUAUGUUU